UAGCUUAGUAGUAAAGCACAUGUUUAGCAUGCAUGAGGUCUUGGGUUCAAUCCCUAG
rnacentral:tRNA from 1 species